rnacentral:misc_RNA from 1 species
AACUUUCAGCAACGGAUCUCAUGGCUCUCCCAUCGAUGAAGAACGCAGCGAAAUGCGAUAAGUAAUGUGAAUUGCAGAAUUCAGUGAAUCAUCGAAUCUUUGAACGCACCUUGCGCCCUUUGGUAUUCCGAAGGGCAUGCCUGUUUGAGUGUCAUUAAAUUCUCAACCUUGAGUUGGUUUUCCGAUUCAAGGCUUGGAUGUGAGGGCUUUGCUGGCUUCCUUCAGUGGAUGGUCUGCUCCCUUUAAAUGCAUUAGUGGAUCCUUUGUGGACGGUCACUUGGUGUGAUAAUUAUCUGCGCCUUGUAACUGUGAAGCAAAACCUAUAGGAACCUGCUCAUAACCGUCUUCGGACAAUCUAUUGACCAUUUGACCUCAAAUCAGGUAGGACUACCCGCUGAACUUAAGCAUAUCAAUAAGCGGAGGCU